UACGGAGGGAGCUAGCGUUGUUCGGAAUUACUGGGCGUAAAGCGCGCGUAGGCGGCUUUGUAAGUUAGAGGUGAAAGCCCGGGGCUCAACCCCGGAACUGCCUUUAAGACUGCAUCGCUUGAAUCCAGGAGAGGUGAGUGGAAUUCCGAGUGUAGAGGUGAAAUUCGUAGAUAUUCGGAAGAACACCAGUGGCGAAGGCGGCUCACUGGACUGGUAUUGACGCUGAUGGUG
rnacentral:rRNA from 1 species